GCCGGGAACCCCCACCCCCCCCCCGGCCGCGCCGAGAGGCGGGAACACUAGUUUCUCAACGUUCCUGCCCUUGAUGACCUCGUGACGAGGGCACUGAGAUGAGGAGAAUCACCCCGAAUGAUCGUCAGUGAUUGGAUUUGGGGUCGGGUUUGUGGGCCGGUUCUGACCGGUUGAUGGGGAAGGAGGGAGGGAGGGAGGGAGGGAAGGAGGGAGGAGGGGUUGAAGCUGUAAAAUAUGUAAUGUAUAAACACAGGUCUUUCUCUCUCACACACAAACACACACAUACACACUCAAACACACACACACACAGUGUUCUCACUACAGUGACUGUCCCUCGCGAAAACUGUGAACUGUGUAUGUUGGCGUGUCUCCUCUCUUACCCACACAUAUGUCCUCCUCCUCUUCCUCCUCCCUGUCCCCCACACUUAUGUACAGAAACUCACAGGGUGGAGGCCCAGAAUAUUCACCACUUCAUCUCCCGUCUCACGGCGGUGAGAGGACUUGCUUCAUGUGUAAAUAACUCUUUAACGUUAACGACGUCUGGGCUUCUUCUCUCCGAUCGCCCACCUUUUGGUUUUCUUUCGCUUUGCUAUGCAAGCAAAAUGGAUGCCGCUGUCUCUGCUCCUUCCGGAGAGUUCUUACCGUGUGGUUCGUUGUUUUGGGUUCGGGUUUAGGGUUGUUUUUUUUUUAAAUGCUGAAAUGUGAAGUGGUUGCAACGAGGCUCCGGUACGUGAUGUUGUACUUUGCACAGAGGGUUACGAGGAUUAUAAGCACAAACUCGCCGCCGUCGUCUCCAGACGGGACGAGGAGCGAAUCAGGAGGACAAAGAGGGGAUAUCUAUUAUAUAAGAAUCUAACAGUAGGCAGAGAGACGGAUGACUCCCGGCUGUUGGCUGAUGCUGGUCGUGAAACUCGUUUAUUGACAGACAAACCGGACGCGCAAAGGAGGACGUUGAUGGCUAACUUCAGUUCUGUAAAAAAGGAAAACUACGAAUAAUUUUUUGUUUGACUGCAGACACCAAUGUGCAUUGCACCUUUGAGUAAUAUUGGAAAUGUACUUAUUUAUUUGUUUAAUUUAUUUAAGUUAUUUAAUUUUUUGUAUGGUAUGACUCAUUUUCUAAAUUUUUUGCAUCGUAACAUGUCCCCAAAAAUAUGAGUAUUUGCAAAUGAGAUCGACUGCUUUUUACAGGGUUUGUUUCGUGCGACAUGAUACACACGUAUGACAUUAUGAAACACAUGUAUGAUACUGAGUCGGGUGGACGGCCGGACCCAUCGGGGUAAACUAAACACACGCGGGAGCUGAGCUACGGUGCGCCAUAGAGGUCAAACUUCCAGAAAUCCCAGGAAUCUCGGGGCCAAGCAUCGACGCGCUCACUGCCCCGCGGACCGGUGUUCCCUAAACACCCAAUACGUCUGUCUUAAAGUCUCAGAGGAGUUCAACUUUAAUCUGUGCUCUGUUGGAACACGCCAUCACACGGCUACAUCAUCUUCUAAAGAUGUUUCUAGAACCAAAUGAUUCUCACCGGCAGAGGAGCUACAGUGAUAAACGGUAUAAUAUGUUCCAAUGCAGUGGGCUAGUUCUGAACUGUGUCCUGCCUCUGAGAUUCACCCCGCUGUAGGUCGACGUUGAUGGUUCUACCGGUGGUUCUGCUCCAGAUCUCCCUGCUCCAACCGUCUCCUUCUGUCAGGUGGCUAUGCCCUCAGGAACACAUAGCCACUAACUGUAUGACCGGUUUUCAAUACUUUGAUGCAGAAUAAAGCGUGUAUGUGAAACUGA